AUGCAGAUGUGAGGAUGAGAACAGAUGGACCACAGGAGGGCUACAGACCUGUGACUGCCAAAGAUGGCAAAGAACGAUAAUGAGAUGCAUUGGCGAGGGUUUGGUGAGAACUUCAGUUUUCUUUGGCAAAUUUCUGCUCCCUUCUGAACUGGCUUCAUAAUCACGUGACACUUCAGUUUCUAGAAGCCCACUGUCUAGCCACCUUCUGAUACAGGAUCAAGCCAAGAAACCAGAAAGAAGAAAACGAAAGUUAAAGAUCUGCCUAUAUUACCGAGUGCAAGCACUGAAAUUCACACCUGUCACAGGAAAAACAUUUCAUUCCUAACAAUACUAUCAUUUUAAUAAUCACUCAUAUUUAUUGCAUAUUUACUCCAAUAUCCACUGGAUGCUCGAUGCAUAUUAUUUCAUUUAACCUUCUCGGUAAUAUCCUGGGGCUUCACAAGCCAAUAGAAACAAUGGAAUAGAAUGAAGACAAGGUGCCCUCACAAGCAAAGUGACAGCUGAAGGACACAGAGAAGCUAUAAAAGCAGGCACCAAACCUCCCGGACCAUCAUCCUCAGAGUCGAGAGGCGGGAGGGUGCAGUCAUUGAGAGGAAGAAUAGCCCGCCGGCUCAUUGUGCUUUAGGG
rnacentral:lncRNA from 13 species